rnacentral:rRNA from 1 species
GACGUAGGGGGCCAGCGUUGUUCGGAAUUACUGGGUGUAAAGGGUUCGUAGGCGGUGUGGCAAGUCGGGAGUGAAAUCUCUGGGCUCAACUCAGAGACUGCUUCCGAAACUGCUGUGCUGGAGUGUGGGAGAGGCGCGUGGAAUUGCAGGUGUAGCGGUGAAAUGCGUAGAGAUCUGCAAGAAUACCCGUGGCGAAGGCGGCCAACUGGGCCGGUUCUGACGCUGAGGCGCGAAAGCGUGGGGAGCAAACAGG